GCUCGAGACACAGCAGCUCCCAGGCCGUUCACCGUCGGCACCAUAGUCCGUUCACCACCGACACCCAAGGCCGUUCACCGACGCAACGAUGAGAUUUGGCCAUUGUCACCCACGACCGCGCACUCGUAUCUCUCCAGCUUCAAGUAGUGUCCUCCUCUAGCUGCAUGUCACGUUCUCCUCCAGCUGCAGGCUAAUGCUAUGGUGCACAUUCAAGGCAGCAAGCAAACCACAGGUCGCAGCGCCGCCGUUGACCACAUGUGCGCAUGCAUGCGAUUGAUGCGUGUGUGCUUUAGGUAUGCAUCUCAAUGCCUCCUCCCUUCCUCUUUUCAUGUAGCAUAUUUUGAAAAAAUUAGACGCUUUCAACUGAAUAAAAAAUGUGUCACACAAGUUCAGGUAUAAGUGCGGCAGGACUAUAGAAAUCUGAACAAACAAAGCUCAAACCAAAAGCUAAUGUACGUGUGAUGUCCAGUUUCUUCCUUCGGUUCAGUUCAAUUUAAUCCGUUCAAUAUGUGCAAUUUAAUGGAUGAGUGUUAUCUAGAUCCUUUUAAUCUGAAGGUAGUUGCACCACUAAGGAAAGUAAAAAAACCCAGUAUUUUCCAUAGACAAGAAAUGGGCAUUUGGCUCAGUAAUCGUCCAUUACUAGAGGUAUUGUCACUUGACCAUUUUCCAGAACUAGUUUCAAUUCAUGGACUACCGGCACUUGCAAAAUCAAAGAGGCUGACCAUACCAAAGUGCCCAAAGUUGAAGCAAAGGAGAUGAGAUGCUACAAAAAAGAUUGUUGGCAUGAUUCUUGAAUUGGGGACUGGAGUUCAAGUAUUAAAUCCAGGCAAGUUCAAAAAUUAAACCGCAAGAAGUUCUUGUUUAUUUAGCAAUAUUAAGUUGACUGUGCAAAAAUCAGUGGUUUAAAUAUGAAAGAAGAAUGUAAAAGGUCCAACAUGCGCAUGUUGCCAGUGCCCCUAGUAGGCCUCUACCUCCGGCUGCCAGUGCAGCUCACGGCUACCUGUACUCCUCCAACAUGUGCACGGUUGCUGCUCUCCUCUGCUUUCUCUCUCUCUCUUGCAUGAUGUUGUUGCUCCUCUCAAAUCUCUCUAGCUCUAUUAAUUCAUGAUGCUGCCUCAUCUCUGAAUUGUUGUGGUGACGCUGAGGUUUUGUUGUCACCCACAGGAUCCCCUGCCUCCAUGUCCAUAUUCAGAUGUGCUGCAAGUUCAAUUGUUUCAGUUCGAGCGGGUGCACAAAACACAAUGUGUAGUCCGUACUGUCCACAUGUGCUGCAAGUUCAAUUGUUUCAGUUCGAGCAUUUGCUACCCUAGUCAUUUGUUUGUUGCUAAAAUGUUGGAGUCGUACUUCUCAUUCUUGCAUGAAUUUUUAUAUACCAUCGUGUUUAUUUCUAAAUGCCAACCACUUUUUUUUGCCGUCAGGUGUUUGCUUAAAUGCCUAAACAAAGAUCUAUUUUAGUUCAGUGCAAAUCUUCUUUUAAGUUCAGUACAAUUUCUUAUUUUAGUGUGAGCAAUCCUUCAAAUGUCUUGCCUUAUAUUACUGCUCAUCCAUCAUAUCUUUGUGUACUCUUUCUUGAUGUCAGUACACAGAACAAAAAAAAUUACGUCAAAUUGACAAUUUUUAAUCUCUUCUAUGUUAGUAUAGGCUACAUGUAUACAACAUUUAAUCUGUAGUAGUAGUAGCAGUUUUGCUAUGUAAAGGAGCAGCGGAACUCCAGUAAGUUGUGAGAAUAUCACAUUGGAUACAUGAGUGCAGGAUUAAUACAUUGUUAAUUAUUGCAGGUAGGUCAGACCUUAGAAGCCACCUGCAGCCGCACUUGCCAGCACCCGCGACGAGCCACCCCACCGGCCCCCAAGGCGCGCCGUCCCACAGUCCGCUGGGCAUGGCGUCCUCCUGAAAUAAAAUAAAUGCGCCAUGCUCAAUCCAACCCUGUGGCUUCUGGUGGCCGAGUUCGUCACGACCAUCAGUUCGGAGACCUGCGUCACUGCCCGUGACGCUACAAUGGCCACCUGCAUCACUGCGUGCUCCGUCAACAGCCUCCUGCACAAGGCAACAGGAGUAGAGACGUCUGAGAUGCUCUGUUCUAGCGAGGUGGCUGAUUAUGUUUGUCAGUUUGAAAUACUUUGGCCACAGUGUACUUAUGUAUCUUUUUCUGGCCGGAGCACAAUCGGAGCUUAUGUCAGUACGAACUUUGAUUGUGAUGGUACUACAGACUCUAUAAAAACACCAGCAAUCCAUUUUUACUGGUACCUUUUAUACGAUUCACAUGGAUUGUGCCCCUAUUACCAACUGUGGUACAAAAUGCAUUGUGCUCACCAUUUUAUUUUAGUUCUUCAGUUUGUAAUA